rnacentral:rRNA from 1 species
GGCCAGACUCCUACGGGAGGCAGCAGUGGGGAAUAUUGCACAAUGGGGGGAACCCUGAUGCAGCGACGCCGCGUGGGUGAAGGAGCACCUCGGUGCGUAAAGCUCUAUCAGCAGGGAAGAAAAUGACGGUACCUGACUAAGAAGCCCCGGCUAACUACGUGCCAGCAGCCGCGGUAAUACGUAGGGGGCAAGCGUUAUCCGGAUUUACUGGGUGUAAAGGGAGCGUAGACGGCUGUGCAAGCCAGAUGUGAAAGCCCGGGGCUCAACCCCGGGACUGCAUUUGGAACUGUGUGGCUGGAGUGUCGGAGAGGCAGGCGGAAUUCCUAGUGUAGCGGUGAAAUGCGUAGAUAUUAGGAGGAACACCAGUGGCGAAGGCGGCUUGCUGGGCUUUUACUGACGCUGAGGCUCGAAAGUGUGGGGAGCAAACAGGAUUAGAUACCCUAGUA